CAUAUACUCCCUCCAUCCGGAAAUACUCGUCAAAAGAAUGGAUGUACUUAGACGUAUUUUAGUUUUAGAUACAUUCAUUUUUAUGCAUUUCCGCGACAAGUAUUUCCGGACGGAGGGAGUACAUA
rnacentral:pre_miRNA from 1 species